rnacentral:tRNA from 1 species
GGGCUAUAGCGCAGUUGGUAGCGCAUCUGCUUUGCAAGCAGAGGGUCGCCGGUUCGAACCCGGCUAGCUCC